rnacentral:rRNA from 1 species
AUUGAACGCUGGCGGCAGGCCUAACACAUGCAAGUCGAACGGUAACAGGAAGAAGCUUGCUUCUUUGCUGACGAGUGGCGGACGGGUGAGUAAUGUCUGGGAAACUGCCCGAUGGAGGGGGAUAACUACUGGAAACGGUAGCUAAUACCGCAUAACGUCGCAAGACCAAAGAGGGGGACCUUCGGGGCUCUUGCCAUCGGAUGUGCCCAGAUGGGAUUAGCUAGUAGGUGGGGUAACGGCUCACCUAGGCGACGAUCCCUAGCUGGUCUGAGAGGAUGACCGGCCACACUGGAACUGAGACACGGUCCAGACUCCUACGGGAGGCAGCAGUGGGGAAUAUUGCACAAUGGGCGCAAGCCUGAUGCAGCCAUGCCGCGUGUAUGAAGAAGGCCUUCGGGUUGUAAAGUACUUUCGGCGGGGAGGAAGGGAGUAAAGUUAAUACCUUUGCUCAUUGACGUUACCCGAAGAAGAAGCACCGGCUAACUCCGUG